GCGGGUGUAGCUUAAUGGUAAAGCUCUUGCUUCCCAAGCAAGCGACGCGGGUUCGAUUCCCGUCACCCGCU
rnacentral:tRNA from 3 species